rnacentral:rRNA from 1 species
UGCAAGUCGAGGGGAAACGACAUCGAAAGCUUGCUUUUGAUGGGCGUCGACCGGCGCACGGGUGAGUAACGCGUAUCCAACCUGCCCACCACUUGGGGAUAACCUUGCGAAAGUAAGACUAAUACCCAAUGACGUCUCUAGAAGACAUCUGAAAGAGAUUAAAGAUUUAUCGGUGAUGGAUGGGGAUGCGUCUGAUUAGCUUGUUGGCGGGGUAACGGCCCACCAAGGCGACGAUCAGUAGGGGUUCUGAGAGGAAGGUCCCCCACAUUGGAACUGAGACACGGUCCAAACUCCUACGGGAGGCAGCAGUGAGGAAUAUUGGUCAAUGGACGAGAGUCUGAACCAGCCAAGUAGCGUGCAGGAUGACGGCCCUAUGGGUUGUAAACUGCUUUUAUAAGGGAAUAAAGUGAGUCUCGUGAGACUUUUUGCAUGUACCUUAUGAAUAAGGACCGGCUAAUUCCGUGCCAGCAGCCGCGGUAAUACGGAAGGUCCGGGCGUUAUCCGGAUUUAUUGGGUUUAAAGGGAGCGUAGGCCGGAGAUUAAGCGUGUUGUGAAAUGUAGACGCUCAACGUCUGCACUGCAGCGCGAACUGGUUUCCUUGAGUACGCACAAAGUGGGCGGAAUUCGUGGUGUAGCGGUGAAAUGCUUAGAUAUCACGAAGAACUCCGAUUGCGAAGGCAGCUCACUGGAGCGCAACUGACGCUGAAGCUCGAAAGUGCGGGUAUCGAACAGGAUUAGAUACCCUGGUAGUCCGCACGGUAAACGAUGGAUGCCCGCUGUUGGUCUGAAUAGGUCAGCGGCCAAGCGAAAGCAUUAAGCAUCCCACCUGGGGAGUACGCCGGCAACGGUGAAACUCAAAGGAAUUGACGGGGGCCCGCACAAGCGGAGGAACAUGUGGUUUAAUUCG